GACGAACGCUGGCGGCGUGCCUAAUACAUGCAAGUUGAGCGCUGAAGGUUGGUACUUGUACCAACUGGAUGAGCAGCGAACGGGUGAGUAACGCGUGGGGAAUCUGCCUUUGAGCGGGGGACAACAUUUGGAAACGAAUGCUAAUACCGCAUAAAAACUUUAAACACAAGUUUUAAGUUUGAAAGAUGCAAUUGCAUCACUAAAAGAUGAUCCGGCGUUGUAUUAGCUAGUUGGUGAGGUAAAGGCUCACCAAGGCGAUGAUACAUAGCCGACCGGAGAGGGUUAUCGGUCACAUUGGGACUGAGACACGGGCCAAACUCCUACGGGAGGCAGCAGUAGGGAAUCUUCGGCAAUGGACGAAAGUCUGACCGAGCAACGCGGCGUGAGUGAAGAAGGUUUUCGGAUCGUAAAACUCUGUUGGUAGAGAAGAACGUUGGUGAGAGUGGAAAGCUCAUCAAGUGACGGUAACUACCCAGAAAGGGACGGCUAACUACGUGCCAGCCGCCGCCGUAAAAC
rnacentral:rRNA from 1 species